GAGAGGGAGAGGAGGUGAAGAGGUGGUGGAGAGGGAGAGGAGGUGGAGAGGUGGUGGAGAGGGAGAGGAGGUGGAGAGGUGGUGGAGAGGGAGAGGAGGUGGAGAGGGAGAGGAGGUGGAGGAGGUGGUGGAGAGGGAGAGGAGGUGAAGAGGUGGUGGAGAGGGAGAGGAGGUGAAGAGGUGGUGGAGAGGGAGAGGAGGUGAAGAGGUGGUGGAGAGGGAGAGGAGGUGAAGAGGUGGUGGAGAGGGAGAGGAGGUGAAGAGGUGGUGGAGAGGGAGAGGAGGUGAAGAGGUGGUGGAGAGGGAGAGGAGGUGAAGAGGGAGAGGAGGUGAAGAGGGAGAGGAGGUGAAGAGGGAGAGGAGGGGGAAGAGGUGGUGGAGAGGGAGAGAAGGUGAAGAGGUGGUGGAGAGGGAGAGGAGGUGGAAGAGGUGGUGGAGAGGGAG